GGGGUUGACCUCAGAGUCUCUCGAAGUCGUACUCAGUCUGGGAAAGGCGGAAGAGCAAAAGAAAGGCAGCAGAGGCAAAGGGAACAGCUCGUCUGCCCCCUUCGCCUCCACCUCCCCUGCCACCGCCACCGCCUCGCCGGCGUUCGAGCUUCCUUUCCCCCGUUCCUUCUGCCGGCCCAGCUACUCCCCGCCGCCGUGCACUGGGUGACCGACAAAGCUCAAAGUUGCUGCCAGUGAAGAAAAAUCCAGAUCUGCUCGCGACCAGCCGGAAGGGUGCACAUCGCCGGCGCUGGCAGGCUGCUUGGGUGAGGUUUGAUCAAAGCGCUUGGAAGUACAUCUGCAGAGCAGUUCAGACUUCAGAGUCUGUAGGCUAAAUCACCACCUGUAGGUGCGCAUAUCCUUUUAUGAUUCCUUUUGUGAAACAAAUCCUCAUGCAAACUAAUUGUGCAAUGUGCUUAGAAUGGUGGGGGGGG